CAGUCGCCGCGGGAAUACGUAGGGUGCAAGCGUUAAUCGGAAUUACUGGGCGUAAAGCGUGCGCAGGCGGUUUUGUAAGUCUGUCGUGAAAGCCCCGGGCUCAACCUGGGAAUGGCAAUGGAUACUGGCGAGCUAGAGUGUGUCAGAGGAUGGUGGAAUUCCCGGUGUAGCGGUGAAAUGCGUAGAGAUCGGGAGGAACAUCAGUGGCGAAGGCGGCCAUCUGGGGCAACACUGACGCUGAGGCACGAAAGCGUGGGGAGCAAACAGGAUUAGAUACCCCCUAGUCCCUGUCUCUUAUACC
rnacentral:rRNA from 1 species